rnacentral:rRNA from 1 species
UACGUAGGGUGCGAGCGUUGUCCGGGAAUUAUUGGGCGUAAAGAGCUCGUAGGCGGUCUGUCGCGUCGAUCGUGAAAACUUGGGGCUUAACCCUGAGCUUGCGGUCGAUACGGGCAUGACUGGAGUUCGGCAGGGGAGACUGGAAUUCCUGGUGUAGCGGUGAAAUGCGCAGAUAUCAGGAGGAACACCGGUGGCGAAGGCGGGUCUCUGGGCCGAUACUGACGCUGAGGAGCGAAAGCGUGGGUAGCAAACAGG